GCAGCGUAAGGGUGAGUAAUACAUGGCUAACAUACCCCAUACAUGAGAAUGACUAUUAGAAAUGAUAGCUAAUGCUCAAUAGUUUCUUAAGGCCGCAUGGUCUAAAGAAUAAAGGUAGGGAUCCUUCGGGACCUUCUGGUUUGGGAGUGGGUCAUGGGCUAUCAGCUAGUUGGUGAGGUAAAGGCUCACCAAGGCUAAGACGGCUAGGCGAUCUGAGAGGAUGAUCGCCCACAUCGGGACUGAGACACUGCCCGGACUCCUACGGGAGGCUGCAGUCGAGAAUCUUCCGCAAUGGGCGCAAGCCUGACGGAGCGACGCCGCGUGAGGGACGAAGGCUUUAGGGUCGUAAACCUCUUUCGCUUGUUAAGAAAAGUGUAUGUUAAUAGCAUGCACCCUGACAAAGGCAAGUAAAGAAGCACCGGCUAAAUCCGUGCCAGCAGCCGCGGUAAUACGGAUGGUGCAAGCGUUACUCGGAAUCACUGGGCGUAAAGCGUUCGUAGGUGGUUUAUUAAGUUGGAUGUGUAAUCCCACGGCUUAACCGUGGAACUGCGUUCAAAACUGAUAAACUAGAGAGCAGUAGGGGACAAGGGAACUUCGGGUGGAGCGGUGAAAUGCGUAGAUAUCUGAAGGAACACCGAUGGCGAAAGCACUUGUCUGGGCUGAUUCUGACACUGAGGAACGAAAGCUAGGGUAGCGAACGGGAUUAGAUACCCCGGUAGUCCUAGCCGUAAACGAUGGA
rnacentral:rRNA from 1 species